rnacentral:rRNA from 1 species
AGAGUUUGAUCAUGGCUCAGGACGAACGCUGGCGGCGCGCCUAACACAUGCAAGUCGAACGGAGUCAAGAGGAGCUUGCUUUUCUUGACUUAGUGGCGAACGGGUGAGUAACGCGUGAGUAACCUGCCCUGGAGUGGGGGACAACAGUUGGAAACGACUGCUAAUACCGCAUAAGCCCACGGCCCGGCAUCGGGCUGCGGGAAAAGGAUUUAUUCGCUUCAGGAUGGACUCGCGUCCAAUUAGCUAAUUGGUGAGGUAACGGCCCACCAAGGCGACGAUUGGUAGCUGGACUGAGAGGUUGAACGGCCACAUUGGGACUGAGACACGGCCCAGACUCCUACGGGAGGCAGCA